rnacentral:lncRNA from 1 species
CAAGGCGACAUUUGCUUGCGCAUGUGGAUGCGCACGCGCAUGCCCCCUCCCAAAGGCCUGGUCCCUAGGGAAAGACGCGCGAGGGCCGCGUGAGCACGCCGAGGCCCACCAGGAAGAUGACCGAGGCGACGGCCGCAGCUGCGCCCCAUUGGAGGGCGCUCGGGGUCUCGGUACGGAACACGUACUGGCGCAAGCCCUCUUGCGCUGCCUCGCUCCACAGGGCGCCCACGGUGACCAGCAUGAUAAGCACGAUCAGUUCCACAGUGCGAUGCUCAAACAGGUAGGCGCGCACGGCGCGCGAUUCGACGUUGGCCUCGCGCGCGACCACGUCGAUCUGUCCGGCACCGAUGACCGCGUUCCCCUGGUCCUGCGCACCGGAGGAGGACAUUGGCACCCCGUCGUAGUGUUUCCCUUUUUUUGACUGCUCUCUUUUUUUUGACUCUUUUCUGGCACGCCGAUGGCGAACAAAAAACACGCAGCGCGAAAAGGGCGCGCGACAGUCUUUU